rnacentral:rRNA from 1 species
UACGUAGGUGGCAAGCAUUAUCUGGAUUUACUGGGUGUAAAGGGCGUGUAGGCGGUUUUGUAAGUCAGAUGUGAAAUCUCCGGGCUUAACUCGGAAACUGCAUCUGAAACUAUAAAACUUGAGUACUGGAGAGGAUAGUGGAAUUCCUAGUGUAGCGGUAAAAUGCGUAGAUAUUAGGAGGAACACCAGUGGCGAAGGCGACUAUCUGGACAGUAACUGACGCUGAGGCGCGAAAGCGUGGGGAGCAAACAGGAUUAGAUACCCGGGUAGUCCCU